AACAGUUGGCUAAUCACUUAUUGUUAACUAAAUUAUUAUGCUAUUUUUAGUAUAAAAUUUUACCUAUUUAAUCUUUUUAACA
rnacentral:tRNA from 1 species